ensembl:lncRNA
CUACACAGCAAAAACUGGAGUGUUAAAAUUUCAGGGUUAAAGAUGUUAGAGUUGAUUUCCACUCUCAAAGUGUCAUAUUAACACAUUCUGAUUCAAAUAGUAUUCAGUGUUGGAGUUAUUAAACAGUGUUAUUCAAGUCCAAGCAAAUGAACUCUGAAGAGAGUUAUUUAACUUGGUAGGCCCCUGGGCUUCUGCCCAGGUAAACCCGUGGAUCAAUUAAUAGUUUGCUCUGCCGGGCCGAUUUUCCAUGUGCUUCUGCUGGUUACACCGUGGUGGAUGCCUGCCGUGCUGCUUGGAGUAUUUUACACAAACGUAAAAUGCUGGUUCAGGUUCGAUACUGCCAACAGCAGAAGUAUGUGAAGUUGGAAGAGGUUGAUGGGCGUUUUGAGUUUAUGCAGUUUCAUGAAAAAGAAUUUUCUGAUUACUCCUUGUCUUCUGCAUCUGAUUGUUCUGACUCAAGCUUCAGCUCAAAUGCAAGUACAUCAACUAUACUUCUAGAUGAGGGUCCCAGGAAGAAAACAAGAGUUGAGGGUACUGUUGAUGCAGCAUCUGCUAAAAAGUUAAUUGAAGGUGUACUUGGAACCAAUUCAGGUGGUGAAGAGGUUCUCCAGGAAUAUCACACAACACAAACUCUGACAGAUGCUACCAGAAGAAAAAUGGUCAAUAUAAUAGUGGCUCACAUGAUUGAUUGCCAUGGGCACCUCCCCACCAAAGCUGUUAGAGAACAGUACGCGCUAGGGGUAGUGACAUUGUUCCCAUCCCUGAAAGACCCAUACUCCAAGAAAGGCUAUGAACACUUCUAUGAUGCUGCAAGCAGCACUGGAUACAUUUCUUGGCGUUUGAAAACGAUACAGAGAAAGACUAGAAGAGGAUCUGCACCACCAAGUAGCUCCACUGGCUUUACUCAAGGAGGGGGCCCAAAUUACCAAAGGCCCAUUAAUGUCGACAUGCAGCUUGAUGGAGAUGCUUGCCAGGAGGCCAUCUCUUUGCUGAAACAUACAUCCGACACUUCCUUGAUUUUCCAGAAGAUGAGAGAGACCUUUCAGCAUCGUCAGAAGGUCAUCAAUGAUCCUGACAAAAGUCUUGAUAUCCUGUCUAUCUUCCCAAGAUUCUUGGAUACAAGAGGAUUGGUGAAUCAAGACUUCACUCUCCUGUUUGAUGAUGAGAUAUCUACCAGGCUGCUUCAGAAAUGGGAUCCAAUCUUUAGGUAUCAAAUCAUCAAAGAGGCCAAGCAGCUCACCUCAACAGUAGAGUUGCGUCAAUUGGUGCAGUCAGCAGAGAGUCCACCAGGAAGUGAUCUUGAUGAGGCAGCAACCUUUGACCAAGACAUGGCCUCCCUGUUGUUACUGUUACAUCUACUUCCGCCACCCCCAGGAGGACCAAAGUAUCAAAAAAUCAGCGCCUCUGAUGCUGUUGAGAGACUUGUAGUCUUUCAUAAGUCUUGCUGCAGUUUGGAAGAGCAUCUCCAGAAUCAGCAGAGUCAGCAGCCAUACCUCCUGGCUGUUGGGCGCCAGAAGAGGAAGGUCGACAGCUUCUAUGUUGCCAUAGACAAGCGUCUCAUCCCCUGCCAGGCCAGCCGCUCCCUUGGGGCAUUUGAUGAGCUUUUUAAAGCUCAUUUUGUGUUCAAUGUGUCUUAUGAUGCUGCACUUGUGAAUUUCUACACAUUUCUGCAGACAACAGUAUACAAUAUUGAUAUGGGGAAAAUGAAGGAGUCCCCAAGAGUGCGUGACUUGAGAGCCAAAAUCCUUAACCAGGAAAUUCUUCUCACAACCUAAGUAAAAAUCAUUAAAAUGCUGACAUGUUUUUUGUGUAAGAGAGCUUAUCUCAGCAGUCAGCAGCUGAUUUCACAUUUAAGAGGUGAACAUGGUUAUUAUCCUGGACCUAAGUUUAAGUUGUGUUGUUGGCAGCCAGGCUGCAGGCUUCAGUUCCAAACUUAUGCAGGCUUUAGGAAGCACCUCAGUUUUCACAGCAAUGUUGACCACAAUGAUCGAACUUCAGCCAUUGCUUCUUUUUCUAAUGACACAGUUUCACCUGCUUUGGAGGACCAGUUUAAUUCCUCUUAUCUUCCUCACAGUUCUCCCAGUGUUCUUCCAGAGUCUAGUUCUUCCAGUGUUCCAGUGAGCAUUGAUUCAGUACUUACAAGGGAUUCAUCCAAAGAAAUCUGUGCAUCCAUUGUGGCCAAACUGCAGGGUAGUGGCCUUUCUAACAGUUUAGUAUCCUCACUUGUAGGCGAUUUGGAGGAAUUAACAAGUGAGCUUCGCUCAGAAGCAAAGCAGGCCAUUCUUUCUGCGUUACCCACAAAGGACUCCAGCAUAUCUUUAAUAAAUGAAUGUUUUGAAAAUUUUGAAAACCCUUUCACCAAUCUGAACACAGAAUGGAAACGAAAUAAAUACUUCAAUCUAAAAUGGGGAGUUGUAGAACCUAGAGAAAUAACACUUGGAGUGAGGUAUGACAUCAGGCGAAAUCAGAAGUUUGGUACUUAUGAUCAAGUACCUGUGAAGGAUACUUUUAUAUAUGUACCUAUUUUGGAGUCUUUGAAGUUCAUGUUUAGAAAUCCAGAGAUUUGUGUUUUCCUGCAGAGAGAGUGUAGCUCAGAGCCUGAUGCUUAUCAUGACUUUUGUGAUGGAAGUUACUUUAAAACUCACCCUUUGUUUUCAGCCAAAAGGCAUGCAUUACAAAUUCAGCUAUACUAUGAUGACUUUGAAACAGCCAAUCCUCUUGGCUCUAAACGCGGAAUUCACAAAAUUGGCUGUAUUUAUUUUGUUAUAAGAAACUUGCCCCCAAAAUUUAAUUCCAUUUUGAUGAACAUUCAUUUAGUGUCACUUUUCCACACACCAGAUCUGCAAAAGUAUGGUUUUGAUGUUAUACUGGAACCACUGAUAAAUGAUGUCAAAAAACUGGAAAGCCAAGGGCUAAGUCUUCCAUUUUCUGAUGAGCAGGUAUAUGGCACAAUAUCACAGAUCACUGGAGAUAACCUAGGGAUGCACUCAAUUCUUGGUUUUAAUGAGUCGUUCAGUAGCCGUCAUUUCUGUCGCCUUUGUUUGAUUGAGAAGAAUGAUUGUCAAAUGGUGUACAGUGAGGAUGAUCCUAAAAUUAUUCUUCGUGGGAAAGAUUUGUUUGACAUACAUUGCCAGUCUCUUCGGGAAGAUCCUAAAUUGAAGUCACUGUAUGGGUUGAAAAGAAAUUCUGCACUCAAUUCAUUGCAGUAUUACCAUAUUUGCAAUAACUACUCAUUUGAUAUAAUGCAUGACCUUCUUGAAGGUGUGGCUCAGUAUGAGGUCAAAUUGCUUUUUGAGUAUCUUACGCAACACUUCAUAUCAGAACAGAACUUGCUUUCUAGGAUUUAUGGUUUUGACUAUGGAUUUUUAGAAAGAAAAAACCGGCCCACUAAAAUCAUAUUGGACAGUGCUGGCAAUAGCAUUGGUUUGAACUCUAUCCAGACAUUCUGUCUUGUGAAAAACAUCCCACUUUUGUUUGGUGACAUUAUUCCUGCAGGGAACAGACACUGGAAUUUGUUAUUGUUGUUACUUCAAAUAAUGAACAUUGUUUUUUCACCUUGUCUCACUCUGGGAAUGACUAUAUAUUUGAAGAAUUUGAUUAUUGACCACCACAAACUAUUUAAGCACACGUAUCCACACAGAAACUUGAUUCCUAAGCAUCAUUUUAUGAUUCAUUACCCAUCCUGUAUUCGAAAAAUUGGCCCUUUACUGUAUAUGUGGAGUAUGAGGUUUGAAGCUAAGCACAAGUUGUUCAAAGAUUAUUUCAAAAAUUUCAAAAACCUCACCAAAUCGCUUGCUAAACGGCAUCAGAUGGCCAUUGCUUAUCACUGGGAAACCUUUUCUCUUAAACAGAAGGAGUUUGGGCCAAUUAAAUCAUUUUCUUUAAGAGGUGAAAGUGUGGUCAAUAGUGAAAUGCUAUUAUCAAAAGAUGUUUUCUCAACAAGUUGGGUUAAAAUUGAUGGUGUAGAGUACAAAGCUGGACUCGUUGUUUGCAGUACAAUGGAGGAAGACAUGCCAGUCUUUUGUCAAAUAAUUGAUACACUUAUGGUUGAAAAUGACAUUUUUUUGUUGACACACAAACUCUUUACUGAAAACUUUGAUGAACAUCACCAUGCAUUCAAAGUAGUACAAACUGAAGAACGGUGUGUCAUAAAAAUAACUGAACUCAAAUGUCACAGACCAUUUGAUAUUCAAAACUCAUACAGUGCUGCAGAUGAAAGUUUGUACAUUAUAUCUUCAUUUAUUAUGUUUUGAUUCACUUUCUGGGAAAAAGAAGCAUGAUAAUAAAUGUUUUUGGACAAUGUACAGUUUUCUUGAAAUUAUUCUCAUGAUUGUACUUGUUGUCGUUAAAAAGUUAUGUUAAUCUAUUACAUAAAUAGUUCUUUUAGGGAUUAAAACUACCUUAAUAAAAGAUUAAAGAGUUAAAGUAGUGUUAUUUUUCAAUCUGUGUAGUGUUAAUUUAACCCAGUUUGGUGAGUUAAAAAAUUAACUCAGACAUGGUGUUAAUAAUAAUUUGCUCAGUGUUAAUUUAACCCGGUUUUAAGAGUUAAAAAUUAACUCAGACAUGGUGUUAAUAAUAAUUUGCUCAGUGUUAAUUUAACCCGGUUUUAAGAGUUAAAAAUUAACUCAGACAUGGUGUUAAUAAUAAUUUGCUCAGUGUUAAUUUAACCCAGUUUUAAGAGUUAAAGAAGGAACUCUGACAAAGUGUUAAAUAAUUAACUAUUUUGAAAAUGUUAAUUCAACUCUGUAGAGUGUGGAGCUAUAUAAACCCUGAAAAAAUGUUAAAAUCAACUCUGUGGGAGUUGAUUCAACACUACAGUUUUUGCUGUGUA